rnacentral:rRNA from 1 species
UACGGAAGGCAGCAGUGGGGAAUAUUGCACAAUGGGCGCAAGCCUGAUGCAGCCAUGCCGCGUGUAUGAAGAAGGCCUUCGGGUUGUAAAGUACUUUCAGUCGUGAGGAAGGUGUUAAGGUUAAUAACCUUAGCAAUUGACGUUAGCGACAGAAGAAGCACCGGCUAACUCCGUGCCAGCAGCCGCGGUAAUACGGAGGGUGCGAGCGUUAAUCGGAAUUACUGGGCGUAAAGGGCACGCAGGCGGUUAAUUAAGUUGGAUGUGAAAUCCCCGGGCUUAACCUGGGAAUGGCAUUCAAGCUGGUUAGCUAGAGUCUUGUAGAGGGGGUAGAAUUCCAUGGUGUAGCGGUGAAAUGCGUAGAGAUGUGGAGGAAUACCGGUGGCGAAGGCGGCCCCUGGACAAAGCCUGACGCUCAUGUGCGAAAGCGUGGGGAGCAACG